AUUGAACGCUGGCGGCAUGCUUUACACAUGCAAGUCGAACGGUAACAGGCCUUCGGGCGCUGACGAGUGGCGAACGGGUGAGUAAUGCAUCGGAACGUGCCCAGAGGUGGGGGAUAACGCAGCGAAAGCUGUGCUAAUACCGCAUAUUAUCUGAGGAUGAAAGCGGGGGACUAAGCAGCAAUGUUUGGCCUCGCGCCUUUGGAGCGGCCGAUGUCAGAUUAGCUAGUUGGUGGGGUAAAGGCCCACCAAGGCGACGGAUCUGUAGCUGGUCUGAGAGGACGACCAGCCACACUGGGACUGAGACACGGCCCAGACUCCUACGGGAGGCAGCAGUGGGGAAUUUUGGACAAUGGACGCAAGUCUGAUCCAGCCAUUCCGCGUGCAGGAUGAAGGCCCUCGGGUUGUAAACUGCUUUUGUACGGUAACGAAAAAGGUUUCUAUUAAUACUAGGAGCUCAUGACGGUACCGUAAGAAUAAGCACCGGCUAACUACG
rnacentral:rRNA from 1 species